CAUGCACCAGUGGGGUCCCUUGGCCUGGCCUGCACCCUCUCGCAAUCCAGGACCCCUCGGGGGAUAUCAGCCAGUUUCAGCCCAAUCCUGCAGGCCAGGCCAAGGGACCCCACUGGUGCAUG
rnacentral:pre_miRNA from 1 species